rnacentral:rRNA from 1 species
CUGGCGGCACGCCUAACACAUGCAAGUCGAACGAAGUAGCAAUACUUAGUGGCAGACGGGUGAGUAACAUGUAGGUAUCUGCCCUUUGGCCUGGAAUAACACGAGGAAACUUGUGCUAAUACCGGAUAAGUCUUUACGGAGAAAGCUUUAUGCACCAUUGGAUGAGCCUGCACUUGAUUAGUUUGUUGGUGGGGUAAUGGCCUACCAAGACUGUGAUCAAUAGCUGAUUUGAGAGGAUGAUCAGCCACAUUGGGACUGAGACACGGCCCAAACUCCUACGGGAGGCAGCAGUGGGGAAUCUUGCACAAUGGAGGAAACUCUGAUGCAGCGAUGCCGCGUGAGUGAAGAAGGCCCUUGGGUUGUAAAGCUCUUUCGUCGGGGAAGAAAAUGACUGUACCCGAAUAAGAAGGUCCGGCUAACUUCGUGCCAGCAGCCGCGGUAAUACGAAGGGACCUAGCGUAGUUCGGAAUUACUGGGCUUAAAGAGUUCGUAGGUGGUUGAAAAAGUUGGUGGUGAAAUCCCAGAGCUUAACUCUGGAACUGCCAUCAAAACUUUUCAGCUAGAGUAUGAUAGAGGAAAGCAGAAUUUCUAGUGUAGAGGUGAAAUUCGUAGAUAUUAGAAAGAAUACCAAUUGCGAAGGCAGCUUUCUGGAUCAUUACUGACACUGAGGAACGAAAGCAUGGGUAGCGAAGAGGAUUAGAUACCCUCGUAGUCCAUGCCGUAAACGAUGUGUGUUAGACGUUGGAAAUUUAUUUUC